GAUGAACGCUGGCGGCGUGCCUAAUACAUGCAAGUCGAGCGAACAGACGAGGAGCUUGCUCCUCUGACGUUAGCGGCGGACGGGUGAGUAACACGUGGAUAACCUACCUAUAAGACUGGGAUAACUUCGGGAAACCGGAGCUAAUACCGGAUAAUAUCUUGAACCGCAUGGUUCAAUAGUGAAAGACGGUUUUGCUGUCACUUAUAGAUGGAUCCGCGCCGCAUUAGCUAGUUGGUAAGGUAACGGCUUACCAAGGCAACGAUGCGUAGCCGACCGGAGAGGGUGAUCGGCCACACUGGAACUGAGACACGGUCCAGACUCCUACGGGAGGCAGCAGUAGGGAAUCUUCCGCAAUGGGCGAAAGCCUGACGGAGCAACGCCGCGUGAGUGAUGAAGGUCUUCGGAUCGUAAAACUCUGUUAUUAGGGAAGAACAAAUGUGUAAGUAACUAGGCACGUCUUGACGGUACCUAAUCAGAAAGCCACGGCUAACUACGUG
rnacentral:rRNA from 1 species